GACGAACGCUGGCGGCGUGCUUAACACAUGCAAGUCGAGCGGAGCGGCGAACGGGUGAGUAACGCGUGAGUAACUGCCCCCCUCCCUGGGAUAACAGUUGGAAACGGCUGCUAAUACCGGAUAGUGGGGGAUGACUCGCGUCCUAUCAGCUUGUUGGUGGGGUAGUGGCCUACCACGGCGACGACGGGUAGCCGGCCUGAGAGGGCGACCGGCCACAUUGGGCUGGGGUACGGCCCAAACUCGUACGGGGGGCAGCAGUGGGGAGUAUUGCACAAUGGGGGAAACCCUGAGGCAGAAGCGCGCGGGCGGGAUGGCGGCCUUCGGGUUGUAAACCGCUUUCAGCCAUGACGCGGUAGUGGCAGAAGAAGCACCGGCUAACUACGUGCCAGCAGCCGCGGUAAUAC
rnacentral:rRNA from 1 species